CUCGGAGCUUUGCUGAAACUGCACAAAAAAAUCGAGCCUGGGGGUUCCCUUGUCCCCUACGAUGGGGCGGAGAGCGCGGCGCCGGGGGAGGGGACGGGCGCGGCAGCGAGGGCCCAGCCGAGGGGGGACACCUGGCUGAGGCACAGUUUGCCGCCGCGCCUCCCCGUGCGAGUCUAGGGCUCCGAUCCCCGCGCGGGCUCGAGAUCUCGCUCCGACCGGGGGUCUUCCUCCGCCGUUGACAGGUUUUGACCUUUAGGAGAGAGCCAAUUCUGGAGAACAACCUAACUUCUUUGAUUGAAUACUCACAUAAUAUGUUGGAACAUGCUAGGAGAUUAAGAUCUAAUGAUGAUAAAAUGAAGAUCAUAAUAAAAACACCUUCCACUUAGCUUAGCAGUUCUUACGUUUCAGCCCUACUUUAUGAAGACUGGAAGGUGUGCUGCAAGGAACAAAACGUCUGUAAAUGCUGCUUUUACCAAGGUGUGCCUUUUGACACUACCACUGCCCUUCCCCCAGAAGCUGAGAACUGACAACUGUGGUUCACAGACAGUGUGGAGAAGGGACUGAGACUGGGGAAGCAGAAGACAGGUACAAAGAGUGGCUGACAGCUCCUCACUUUAGUAGAGGCCAGUAAAUGCCACGUGAGGUGAUGUCGGCACAAAACUACGGAGUCUUUCCAUGUCACCCUCGGCAGAGUACCGUUGCUUCCCAGCUCACAGCAACCUCAAACUCUUGGGCCUAAGUGAUCCUCCUGCCUCGGCCUCCCACAGUGCUCUUCUAUUUCGCAUUGCAGUUGUCACUGUUUAGCUGGCCUGGGCCGAGUUCGAACCCGCCAGCCUUGGUGUAUGUGGCUGGCGCCGUAACCACUGUGCUACAGGUGCUGAGCCAAUUUAUAUAGAGAGAAAUUUCUAAGAAAUAAACUCUGAUGGCAAAAAAACUGGAUGUGUGAGUACUGUAGUGAUCUAGGGGUGAAGAAAACUGGAACAGAGAGUAGUGGCAUAAGAACAGAGGUGAAAAAAUAAAUUUAAGGUCUUCCAAAGGAAAAUAUGUAGAAAGAAUAUCAUGAUGGGAUGGAUAAAAGGGAAGUGAAAAAUGGUAUGUUUUCCAUAUUGGAAGACAGUGAUGAUCUCCCUGAAAGUGGAUAUUUACGGAGCAGCUGUACAGGAGGGAAAGAUGCCGCAUCUCCUGUUUGUAAUGCUGCACUUAGGGUGAUAUUUAAGCAUUUGGUUUGAAAUGACUUGAUUUAAGGUGACUGGAUAUACAGUCCUAGAAUUCUAUAUAAAAGUCAGGCCGGAGAAGGAAAUUUGGCAGUUAUUCACAUAAAACUGGUAAGGGGAGAAAAGGUGACUGAAGCUCUUUAGGCAGGACAGUAGAUCAGUUUGUAAAAUGUGUGUGUAUAUGUGUAUAUAUAUAAAUUUCAUUAGGUAUGUAAUCUUAAACAUUUCCAAAACUGAAUUAAAACUCUUCUUUUUUUCCUUAAGAGUGUCAUAUCUCAAACUUGUGUCUGUAAGAAAAUCCCUACAUUUGUAUCAGUUACUAGAUUCAGUGGCUAAAAUGUGUUAAUACUCUGGAACCUUACCUUUUCUUUUAAUAAAACUUUUUCUCUUACUAAACUAAGGGAAUUGAAAUUGAGAACUUAAAAUUUCAAGUAAUUUAGGCAGUUAGAACUUUAUAAAAUUAACAUGACUUUAAUUUCUCGAAUGGAAAGGCAAGUAAUUGAAUGGGGGGAAGUGAGCUGGUCUCCAGUUUCAAGAAAUCGUACAGCACAAAGAGCAGACAUUCUGGCCAAAGAGCUAAAAUAAUAAACAGAAAUUUGAAAACCAGGAAGACAAGUUUUCCAAGAGUGCAACUGUGGCAUUUCAAAGGAGAUUUAGCAAGAAAUUCCGGAAGAUGGCCAAAAAUAGGGUUAGAGAAUUGAGAUUCCUUAUUUGAAUACUUGGUUUUGAUGAAGAAAAAUGCUUAAAGGGAAAUGAGGGUUCUGAGUUCUGAAACUUUUUCUCACCCUACAUCAAUUUACUUUAAAACUAUUAGUCAGGAAAGCCCCCCCAAAGUAUUCAGCACUGCUUAAAUUGUAGAAAUUUAAAAAGUGACCAAGGCAACAAUUUUUUGAAAAUUAAUUGCAAGCAAAUAUUUUGAUUUUCUAGACACAAAACCUUGUUUUGUAAGAUUCUGAUUUAUAAAGUCAAAAUAUCUUGCUGUGUUUACUCAAUUAUUACUUGCCAUGAGAAAUAGCAUGCUACUGUACACCUUUGAUUCUUAGUAUGUUCUAUUUUAAUUAUAUGUAAGGAAACCUAAAAUGUUAAUCUGCACUUUGAAAAUAGCCUUUAAAACCUCAGUAAUAUGCCUUUGGAUGUAUCAGAAUAUUUUGGACCAUUGUACCUUUCAUACUUUUGGGGGCGGUGGGGGAGACAGAGUCUCUGUUGCCCUGGGUACCGUGGCAUCACAGCUCACAGCAACCUCAAACUCUUGGGCUCAAACGAUCCUCUUGCCUCAGCCUCCCGGGUAUCUAGGACUACAGGUGCCUGCCACAGUGCCUGGCUGUUUUUUUUUUUUCUUUACUAGAGAUGGGGUCUUACUCUUGUUCAGGCUGGUCUUGAACUCCUGAACUCAAGGGAUGUUCCCACCUCCACCUCCGAGAGUGCUAGAAUUAGAAGUGUGAGCCACCUCACCCACCCAAACCUUAAUUCUUUAACCACUUGAUUAAACCAAAUUCAGUGAACCUCAAGUUGGGUUACCCAGAAGUGGGAACAUUUCCGUCCAUGUUUCUGUAUGAUUUGCAACGAGUUUAUGUUCCUAUCUACCUCUCUAUUUUCAUCUUAUUUCUGUAAAUACUUUAAUACUGUUUCUGUAACUUGACUACUCUUUCAGACUGGAUUAUAUAAAGUACCCUCUUCUAUCUUUUAAUCUACUUUAAAUAUUGUUUUUACAAAUAUCCAUUCACUGAGACCAUAG